AGGGAAUAGUUUAAAUA
rnacentral:tRNA from 1 species